CUGUGGCACACGGCUCAGCCACUCCCCAGCCUCGCACUCCGCACCACAGACGCUCCCAGCCCCUUCCUGCUCUCUCUUUGCAGGCUGCCUUCGCUGGGCCCACUGCAAGCCCCCGCUGGGAAAAGGGCGCUCCCAGAAGCCAAGUCACUCGGACUGGGUUCCUGCAGCGGGGGGCUCCGGGUGCAGGCUUUGCUCCUCCCCCUCCCCUGCCCCAGGAGGGAGGGGCCUGGUCAGGCAGAGCCGGGGCUGGCUGUGGCCCAGACUGCUGGGGCUGCCUGCGCCGCCGGGGGUGAGGGGCGGGGGUGGUGGUGGUUUCAGGCUGCGGUGAGAGCCGAAACCAGGGCCAGGCACACACACGCGGGAAGGCGGAAGAGGAGGUGUGCGGCUAAUCGCGGGUGGGCGUGCUGGGGCUUGUCUUCGCCGGGGAGAGGGAGCCGAAGCCAGCGCCACCCCCAGAAGGAGGGAGCGGGCCCUGGGGCCGCACGAGGGGCGCGCCUGUGGCCUGUAGAGGCCCAGCAGCAGCCCUGGCGGGGGGCUGCUCCCCUCCGCGCGCAGGAGCGCUGGGUGGUGAGACAGGCGGAGUGCGGGAAGCGGGCAGCUGGUAGCACCGAUUCCUGUCUAGACUGGAGUUUUGGAAUCCGGGCUGCACGGAUGAAAGGGGCCAUUAUGAAGACAGGGCGUCAAUCUCCCCACAGUCACCUCGGGUUUCUGACACCUGUCUGCCUCCCUGCGGUCACUGCCUGCACCACUGGGACCCACCUUCAAGUUCUGACAGAUGCGCUUACCAGACCAUCCCGCGGAAGGAGCCCGCCAGAGUCCAGCGAUAAAGGAGGUGGGGUCAGAGGUGCGAUGUUUGCUGUAAAAGACACACCCCAAAACCCACGGCUUGCCAAGGCAGGGGGCCCUUCCACGGCAGCCCGGGCAGGCUCAGAGAGACACCCAGCAGCUACAACGUACAACACACACGAGGCAAAAGCCACCUAACUGAUCAGCGCGGGGGCACAAAUCAGAGAAAUGAUGCAUUUCUUCCUAAGACCGUAUCUCCUGCAUGUAGAUACGGUGGCUGUUUCCCUUUAGUCACCCCAGUGAAAGGCGGAUGGUGGAGGUAAGGAGAGCCCCGAGAGCGGAGGCAGGAGCAGUGACAGUGGCUAUAGCGAGAGAGGAGCGAGAUGGGCCAUGGGUGCUUCAGGGAGGAGCUUUCUUUUUUUUUUUUUUUUUUAAAGAUUUUCUUUUUUUUUCUUUUUAUUUUUUUUUUUUGACAGGCAGAGUGGACAGUGAGAGAGAGAGAGACAGAGAGAAAGGUCUUCCUUUGCCAUUGGUUCACCCUCCAAUGGCCGCCGCGGCCGGCACGCUGCGGCCGGCGCACCGCGCUGAUCCGAUGGCAGGAGCCAGGAGCCAGGUGCUUUUCCUGGUCUCCCAUGGGGUGCAGGGCCCAAGCACCUGGGCCAUCCUCCACUGCACUCCCUGGCCACAGCAGAGAGCUGGCCUGGAAGAGGGGCAACCGGGACAGAAUCCAGCGCCCCGACCGGGACUAGAACCCGGUGUGCCGGCGCCGCAAGGCGGAGGAUUAGCCUAGUGAGCCGCGGCGCCGGCCAGGGAGGAGCUUUCUGAAGAUGGGGCCCCGGCCAGCAGCUGCCCCUCACCAUUUGUCUUAGAACUGUUAGAAUCCACCAGCACGUGGGCUCUACGAAGGCAGGGAUUUUAUUUUCUCAUUGCUACACCUGCCACACCUGGACUAGGGACUGGCAUGGAGUAGGUGCUCAAAAAUGGGAAUGGGAAAUUAGUGAUACGGUCGCUGGUCCCCGUCUUUCAGUGGCUGACAGGGGCCCCACAGAAGUUCGUCAGUUGCUCUUUGUCCAAAGAUACCAAGAAGUUCCUUCCCAAUUGGGACAGAAGGUAUCAUGGCAAACGCCAUGAAGGACAAGAACUCUCUUGAGCUAUUGAGAUGGCUCCAGAGGACCUCCGGCCUCCAGGGGAUGCCCAUCAAGCCCCGUGACCCCCACACAGUGCUCCACACAACCCGGCCUUUGUGAAUUUCCACCUCCCCCUGAGAGGGACCACACGGACACUAUGAUCAUCUACACGGUAACCUAACAAUUCCUACCAGCUAGAGAGCACUGUUCUGUGUCAGACGUUUUACAUCUCUCUUCACAUCUCUCUUCUCUUAAAAAAAUAUUUAUUUAUUUGAAAGGCAGAGAUACAGAGAGAGAAGGAAAGGGAGAAAGAGGGAGAGAGAGAGAGAGAGAUUUUUCCUCUGCUGGUUCACUCCCCAAAUGGCUGGGGUUGGGCAGGCCAAAGCCAAGAUCCAGGAGCUUCAUCCGGGUCUCCUCUGUGGGUUCAGGGGCCCAAGGCCUUGGGCUAUCUUCCAUUGCUUUCCCAGGUGCAUCAGCAGGCAGCUGGAUCAGAAGUAGAGCAGCUGGGACUCAAACUGGCAUCUAUAUGGGACGCCGGCACUGUAUGCGGAGGCCUUGCCUACUGUGCCGGAGCUCCAGCCCCAACAUCCAUCUUCUCAUUUAGUUCUCAUGGUAAGCACGCUGGGCAGCUGUUCUCACCCCCAUUUUCAGAUGAACAACUGAGCCAUUAAUGACUCGGUCCGAGGUCAUGCAGCAGAAUCUGGGCCUGACCUAGGCUUGUGUGAGCCCUGAGGCAGGGUACUCGCUACCCACAUGUUCCGUCUCUAACCAGCUCUGGGACCUGGGGCAAGUCUCUCGUCUCUGUGCACCUGUUUCUGUAUUCUCAAAUCCACAGCGCGGGACAAUGGGAUUUACAGUUUUCCACGCAUCAGUGUGUGAGCAGGUGACUUCAUUCCAUAGCCCGCCACAGCUUCCCCUUGCCUAUGGAAGUUGAAAUAACAACACCUUUUAUGAAAGACUGCUCACAAAGCUUCCUACCUUCUCUGGAUGAGGACACUUUAAGUCCUGGGGCUGCUUCCCUUACAAAGCGCAGUUUUUAGUGGAGGCCACAGCCCUGCUCCUCGGGCUGCAGGUCUUCAUAGGGGCCCCAUCUUCUCUUCCUUUUGGUCUGUGUCACGUGGCAGUAGGCAGGCCCCUGCUGGGGAGCGGAGCACAGGGCGUUGUGCUGACCAGACCUCCCGGGCCCUGGGAACUCCUGACUCAGGCAGCGCCCCCAGCACCUGCAAACACAUUUCCUGCAGAAGCGGGGGGAGAGGGUGGAAGAGGGGGAAGAAGAACCUGGGGCCAGCAGUGCUCCCAGCGACGCCCAACUGUGGCCCAACUGGGGCAAUAGAGGAAGUUCAGACUCCUGGCACUGGGAGGAAAUUUAGCAAUAAUCAAAUACACGGUUUUCCAGCUUUUUUUUAGCUCCAGAAUCCCGUGUGUAAAGCAGAAAAGUCCAUCGUUCCAGCUAAAUCCAGAGUAGUGGGGCGACAAUCCUUUGUCCCGCCUCCUCAGUCUGCCCUGCUAACAGGUGAACCCCAGGGAUGGCCACAGAACAAGGUGGAGACGAUUUUUAUCUAACCAAAACCCUCCGGUUUUUCACCCAGAGUCCUAUAAAGCAAGCCGUGUACCAGGCACGACCACCAGCUCUGGCGUUCACACUCAGGAGCCUUGACCAGUGAAGGAGGCAGUUAGGUAGGGAUCAGGGGUUGUGCUGACCCAGGAAGAACAGUGCAAAACCACAGGCAGUUACCUCAAUGCCAGGAAUUUCACCUUGAGAACCAGGUAGUCCGACGGCAAGGCAAUUAGUGAUGGUCCUGCUUCGCCCUGCUCCGGGCAGUGUUCAAGGUGGGGCCGCUGAGAGGAUGAAUCACCCUCUCACCAAGGCUUUCUUUAAAACUUUUAUUUACUUAUUUGUAUCUGUUUAAAAGGCAGAGAGACACAGACAGGGAGACAGACAACUGGGGUUGGGCCAGGUUCCCCAUGUGGGUAGCAGGGACCCGAGUGCUUGAGCCAUCGCCUGCUGCCUCCCAGGGUGCACAUUAGCAGGAAGCUGGAAUUGGAAGCAGAGCUGGGACUUGAACCCAGGCCCUCUGAUAUGGGAUUUGAGAGUCUCGAGUGGUGUCUGAACCACUGCGCCAAGAACCCCCCACCCCCACCCCGCCAUGGUUCUCCAUUCUCCCUGUGCCUUGCUCCUCCUCCUCUGUUGCACCUGCUAUGAAACUUCCUCCUGACCUCCAGGUCCUAGGUUUCCCCGUUUCCUCUAAGUCUAUAGCUCUACACUAAUUCAUUCCCUUUCAUAUCACCCUAAAUCCUGCCAUCCUUCUUUCUGGACAAUCUCUAACCAAUAUGCUGGUUCUUUCACUCUCAGGCACUAAUGGUUCACAUGCUGAUGAUUCUAGCGCUUUCUCCUAAGUUUCCAAGCUACACCAGAUGCUGAGUGGGACUGGCCAGUAGGUGAAAGCCAGACCCUACCAGUUAGCAGGCACGGCAUGUGUGUCUUACGCCUGACUGCACGUUAGAGUCACCUGAAGGAUGUUUAAACCGUUAAGAAGCUAAGUUGCAUCACAGAUGCACAAAAUCAGAGUCCACCAGGGUGGAGACAAGGCACUGGUAUUUUUAAAAAAUAUUGAUUCCUUUAUUUUUCAUUUAUUUGAAAGGCAGAGGGAUAAAGAGAGGAAGACAGACAGAGGGAGAUUUUUCCAUCUUCUCAUUCACUCCCCAGAUGCCUACAACAGCUGGGGGACUGAAGCCAGGAGCCAGAAACUCAGUCUGGGUCUCUCAUUUGGGUGGCAGGGACCACAUUAUUUGAGCCAUCACCAUCUUGCUGCUUCCCAGGAUGUCCAUUAGCAGGAAACAGUAAUCGGACGUGGAGCCAGGACUCCAACCAGGCACUCAGAUAUGGGAUGUAGGCAUCCGAGUACCAUCCCAAGCACCACAGCAACACAUGCCCCAGCAACGGCACUUCUAAAACGCAAUUAUAAUAUACAUCAAAAUCACAGGAAAGCCUUGGCACCAUGUCCCCAUGGUGGGGGUGAGUACCACCAGCUCCCCUCGCCCCCUCCCGUGGCUCCAGUCUCUGCCUGCCUCCACCCCAGAAGGCUAACGUUCUCCUGUGUGAGAGCACUUCAGAAAUAUCAUGGGAAAAUGGAAUUAAAAUUUACUUUGGUGCUAAAAUACUUGAGAUCCAUGCUUAGGUUUUCACCAUAUACAUUUACGUAUUUUCCACUAGCUGUUGGAGCCCUCUUAUGUCUUUGUUUUGCUUGUUUGUGAUAUCCACAGAAAUGGAAUCUGUGAUGUAUACCCUUUGUGUCUGACUUCUUUGAUUCAGUGUUUUGUUUUUAAGAUUCAUCCAUGCUGGGGCCACCAUUUGUGGCAUAGUGAGUAAAGCUGCCACCUGUGACACAGGCAUCCCAUAUGAGUGCUGGUUCGAGUCCCGGUUGCUCCAACUCACAUCAAACUCCCUGUUAAUGUUCCUGAGAAAGCAGUGGAAGAUGGCCCAAGGGCUUGGGCCCCUGCACCCUCAUGGGAGACCAGGAAGAAGCCCUUGGCUUCUGGCUUCAGUCUGAUCCAGCCCUGGCUGUUGCAGCCACUUGGGAGUGAACCAGCUGAUGGAAGAUUGCGCUCUCUCUCUCUCUCUUUCUCUCUCUCUCUCUCUCCCCCUCUCUGUGUGACUCUGUCUUUUAAAUAAAUAACAUAAUCAUUAAAAAGAUUCGUCCA
rnacentral:lncRNA from 1 species